CGGCUGUGAGACCCCAGGUUCUUAUGAGACUCUCAAAAACCAAGAAGCAUGUCAGCGAGCUUAUGGUGGUUCCAUGUGUUGCCAAGUGUGUACGAGACAGGAUCAAGCGAGCUUUCCUCAUUGAGGAGCAGAAGAUUGUGGUCAAAGUACUGAAGGCACAGGCACAAAGCCAGAAGUCUAAGUAGAAGGUGAUUUUUACUGUUCAAA